UGUCGGUGGAUUGACUAUAUAGUGCGUAGUUGUGCAUUAUUUGAAAUACAAUGAUACUGAGAAGGAAAGAAAUAAAAGAAACACAGUCACAGAGCCGAGAUACAGUGAAAGAGCUGAGAGUUGAUGCUCUGAUAUUCUAGUGAAUUUAUUUCUUUUAUAGUAGAUUUAGACUUUGCCAUUGAAGACAAAUUCGACGAGAUCUUCGAAUUGAUCGGAGACGGUCUUCAAUUAGAGCACUUUGGGUUUUUGAAUUCUUGGGCUGAUUUGGGAUUUUUUCUUUAAAUUGAGGUCGGUUCCUCCGAAUAAGGUUAAAGGAAUGGUUUUGACAAUCUCUUGAAGAAUCAAAGGACGCCGUUGCUGGGAACCGUCUUUUGGGCCAAGUUUCUUUAGUCAUCGUGCAUGUGAGUUUUGCAGCAUUGUAUUCAGAAUGACGAUCGUGUCGUUGGGCCAAUCCAUGUGAUAAAAAAAAAGGGUGAUAUGUGUUGAAGACAAGCCUCCGCGGGCAUUACCAUGCCACCGCGGGCGCCUGCUAAUCACCCUAGUAAUAAGUCUUCCUCCGCGGGGCCCCGCAGUGUCUCGCGGGCCCCCGCCGCAAGCCUCUUUGGGCACCCGCCGCUCCACCGUGGGCACCCGCCAAAGCAUCCAGUGAGCUUCCUCGGAAAUCAAGAACCCACGAGCACCCAUCAGCGCCCCGCGGGCGCCCGCCGAUCUGCAGACAGCUAGGCGUGGUCUGCUUUGUCUCCCCCAAUGAUGUCCCCUUGAUCAAAUGAAUGGCUCUGCACUCUUCUAGGGAUGAUGAUGCACGAGAUUAAUUGAGUUUGGUGGGAUUUUUGGCUCAUAAGAAGGGGCUUGUAUCAUAAAGAACAUAUCUCACAUUUUUAACAAGUUUCUAAAGAGAGAAAUAUUGAGAGCUUGAGAGUCUUUGGUUUCUUGGAGCUCUAAGCACGAAAAUGGAGGGACUCUUCACCUUUUCUCCUUCCUCUAGUGCAGCCAUGAGCAACUAACUCCCUAUCUAGGGAGGUGAUGAAGCCCUCUCUAGUAAGCAUGUUGUAGCUUUUGGUUUAUUUUGGGAAAAAUGAUAUAUAUAUAUGUGGGUGUUCCAUAAUCUAGAGUCUACACUUGAUGUAAUGAACUAAGUUUGAUAUAAAUGAUCAUGUUGAAUUUAUUUUCUUGUCUUAGAAUAUAUAUUCUCAUGGUUGUAUUACUUGAUUUUUCAUAGUGACAAUGAAAAUGAGAUUGUGGAAUGGUUUUAAUGGCA